AAGCAAGUAUGGAGCAAUUACUAGGUAACAGAUUGGAGACUUUCUAGUGAAACCGUGCAGAUAUUUUUAGAUUAACUUGGACUUUGAAAGAACUUUCCCAAACAGCGAUAUUGGCAUUUUGGAACAAUUUGGAAUAAUCGAAAUAUCCAGUGUAAAUGUAUUUAUGUACAUAUGUAAAUAUAGGUAUAUAAUUAUAUACUAUAAAUAUAUGUUCUUAUCACUAUGAA